GAUGAACGCUGGCGGCGUGCCUAAUACAUGCAAGUAGAACGCUGAAGGAGGAGCUUGCUCUUUCCGGAUGAGUUGCGAACGGGUGAGUAACGCGUAGGUAACCUGCCUGGUAGCGGGGGAUAACUAUUGGAAACGAUAGCUAAUACCGCAUGACAACGGUUAUUGCAUGAUAACUGUUUAAAAGGUGCAAUUGCAUCAGUCACAGAUGGACUUGCGUUGUAUUAGCUAGUUGGUGAGGUAACGGAUCACCAAGGCGACGAUACAUAGCCGACCUGAGAGGGUGAUCGGCCACACUGGGACUGAGACACGGCCCAGACUCCUACGGGAGGCAGCAGAAGGGAAUCUUCGGCAAUGGACGGAAGUCUGACCGAGCAACGCCGCGUGAGUGAAGAAGGUUUUCGGAUCGUAAAGCUCUGUUGUAAGAGAAGAACGAGUGUGAGAGUGGAAAGUUCACACUGUGACGGUAUCUUACCAGAAAGGGACGGCUAACUACGUGCCAGCAGCCGCAGUAA
rnacentral:rRNA from 1 species